AGUAACACGUGGAUAACCUACCUAUAAGACUGGGAUAACUUCGGGAAACCGGAGCUAAUACCGGAUAAUAUAUUGAACCGCAUGGUUCAAUAGUGAAAGACGGUUUUGCUGUCACUUAUAGAUGGAUCCGCGCUGCAUUAGCUAGUUGGUAAGGUAACGGCUUACCAAGGCAAUGAUGCGUAGCCGACCUGAGAGGGUGAUCGGCCACACUGGAACUGAGACACGGUCCAGACUCCUACGGGAGGCAGCAGGC
rnacentral:rRNA from 1 species